ensembl:lncRNA
AAUCCCAAGGACACUGUUCAUAUGGACUGUAAUGUGUGCAGUGUUGCAGAGGACUUAGGACAGUAACUGUACAAUUCUAUGAUGUGACACUAGCAUCAUUCCUCUUUUAUGUACUACUGGUAGACCUUCCAAGGAUCUGGACUGGAAGCCAAGAGAUGGAUCAAGAAAACCGUCGGAGCUUGAGAAGCCACUUUCUCCUUGACCCACACACUGCUUGAUCUCUUGGAAACUGCCAACCCUGGAAAGAAGCAUUUUUGACUUCCCGUCUGGCCUGGAUGAAACACAAAGGGAACUUAAGGCAAGAGAUAUUUUAAUGUCUUUUUCUACUUUCUUUCAGUCUCUGUGAUAGCCACCUAAAUCCACAGGCUGAGGGCUAAUGCAUGUGGAAAGGAAACGAAAUCUUCUCAGCAUGUGUGCUCCUCUGACAUUUUGAUUAGCGCAGAGAAAUUGGAAGGCAGCACAUCCCC